AUCCGUGGGUUCACUGCAACACGCACAAAUCUUUCGCCUUUUACUAAAGAUUUCCGUGCAGAGGAGCGCUAUGAUCUGUAUACAACAAUGAUUGCCUCGUUUUCGGAUGAGG
rnacentral:snRNA from 1 species